rnacentral:rRNA from 1 species
AUAGAGACUCAGAGCUGCAUAUCAAUAAGCGGAGGAAAAGAAACUAACAAGGAUUCCCUUAGUAACGGCGAGUGAAGCGGGAAGAGCUCAAAUUUGAAAUCUUCAAGGUUUUACCUUGACGAAUUGUAGUUUAAAGAAGUGUUUUCUGUUGAAGUUUCGGUAAAAGUUCUUUGGAAUAGGACAUCAUAGAGGGUGAGAAUCCCGUAUUUGACCGUUAUUUUCAGCUGUGUGAUACACUUUCAAAGAGUCGGAUUGUUUGGGAAUGCAGUCCAAAAUGGGUGGUAAAUUUCAUCUAAAGCUAAAUAUUGGCGAGAGACCGAUAGCGAACAAGUACCGUGAGGGAAAGAUGAAAAGAACUUUGAAAGGAGAGCUAAACAGUACGUGAAAUUGUCAAAAGGGAAGCGUUUGACACCAGUGUUGUCUAGUUGAAAAUCAAUUCAAAUAGGUUUUGAUUUUGAGUAGUAUUGACCUUAUCAAGCUUUCUUCACUUUUUUUCAUGUAUUAUUUAAUGCACUUUUCAGUUAACAAGUCAACAUCAGUUUCUUUUGUUGUAAAAGGGUAAUAGGAAGGUGGCUUACUUUUCGGCGUAAGUGUUUAUAGCCUUUGACCUCUGCAAUCGGAGAGAUUGAGGUACUGCAGCGUAGACUCCUUCUGGGAUUAGAUACACUUGUGCUAAGCUAUAGCCUUGUAUAGACAACUUGUUGACUAUGCUCAGUCAUGUAGUUUACUCGCUUGUGCUAUUUUACCUACGCUUAGGAUGUUGAUAUGCAUGACUGAUAU